rnacentral:lncRNA from 1 species
GCUGGAUCUUCGGAACGAGUCCGUGAAGGAUCGGGCGCGGGCGCGGGCGCGGGGCCGGAGGGCCCUGGGAGAGUGGGUUGAGAGAAUGGAAGUGAAGAGGAAGGCUUCACCAUCACCUUAACUAACAUGUGUUUCCUACCGUUAAAUAAACAUUAUAGGAGGCCACUGUUUUGGACUAAGUUUCUGCACCAGGCCCCAGCCGACCAGACUAAAAAUCAAAAGAGUCACCCAUGCUAAAGUUCCACAUUACCAAAUGGAAACUGAGUUGCCAUCUAACCUGGGGAGAAAUCAAGAGACAACAGCCAAUUUCCCAAACAGGCCGGUUUAAAUCCUCAAUCAACAUCACAUUUCCCUGCUUUAAUCCUACGCAAAAAAAGGCGGCUUGAAAGAACCUGAUAGUAACCACUUGGUUAUUAUUCUAUUGGUCUGUCCUGCCUUACAAGAAAAGUAAAAGUAACUUUGAAAAAUAACUAUAUACUCUUUUUUUUUUUUUUGAGAUAGAGUCUCGCUCUGUCGCCCAGACUGGAGUGCAGUGGUGCAAUCUCGGCUCACUGCAACCUCUGCUUCCCGGGUUCAAGCGAUUCUCCUGCCUCAGCCUCCCAAGUAAGUGGGAUCACAGGCGCACACCACCAUGCCCAGCUAAUUUUUUUUUUUUUUUUAAGUAGAGACAGGGUUUCACCAUUUUGGCCAGGCUGGUCUCGAACUCCUGAGCUCAAGUGGUCCACCGGCUUAGAACUCACAAGGUGCUAAGAUUACGGGCAUAACCCACUGUGUCUGGCCUUUUUUAAAAAUUUUUCUUUUUUCUAAGGUACAGGGUCUAGCUUUGUCACCCAGGCUGGAGUGCAGUGGCAUAGUGGCAUAAACCCAGCUCACUGAAGCUUUGACUUCCUGGGCUCAAGCGAUCCUCCUGCCUCAGCCUCCUGAGUACCUGGGACCACAGGUGGACACCUCCACGCUCUGCUUAUUUUUAAUUUUUUUUUUUUUAUUUGAGAUGGAGUCUUGCGCCAUCUCGGCUCACUGCAACGUCCGCCUCCUGGGUUCAAGCAAUUCUCCUGUCUCAGCCUCCCGAGUAGUUGGGAUUACAGGCAUAUGCCACCACGCCUGGCUAAUUUUUUUGUAUUUUUAAUAGAGACAGGGUUUUGCCAUGUUGGCCAGGCUGGUCUCGAACUCCUGACCUCAAGUGAUCGCCUGCCUUGGCCUCCCAAAGUGCUAGGAUUACAAGUGUGAGCCACUGCACCUGGCCUUUUUUUUUUUUGAGAUGGAGUCUCACUCUGUUGCCUAGGCUGGAGUUGGAGUGCAGUGGUGCUACCUAGCUCACUGCAACCUCUUGUCUCCCAGGUUCAAGCGAUUCUUGUGCCUCAUCCUCCUGAGUAGCUGGGAUAACAGGCGUGCACCACAUGCCCUGCUAAUUUUUGUAUUUUUAGUAGAGACACAGUCUCUUCAUGUUGGCCAGGCUGGUCUCGAACUCCUGACCUCAAGUGAUCCACCUGCCUCAGCCUCCCAAAGUGCUGGGAUUACAAGCGUGAGCCACUGCACCUGGC